rnacentral:siRNA from 1 species
GACGCGAUUUGGAUCAUGGAGUC